GCCCCAGUAGCUCAGUGGCAGAGCGUCUGCAUGGUAAACUUCUUGAAAGAAGUUUAAUCAAGAACCAUAAAGCAGAAGGCCGUGGGUUCAACUCCCACUUGGGGCU
rnacentral:tRNA from 1 species